rnacentral:rRNA from 1 species
GAUGAACGCUAGCGGCAGGCCUAACACAUGCAAGUCGAGGGGCAGCACAUAAAGUGGUUUACCACUUUUGGUGGCGACCGGCGGACGGGUGCGUAACGCGUAUGCAACCUACCUUUAACAGGGGGAUAAUCUGAAGAAAUUUGGUCUAAUACCCCAUAACAUCAUUUAUGGCAUCAUGAAUGGUUAAAAACUUCGGUGGUUAAAGAUGGGCAUGCGUUGUAUUAGUUAGUUGGUGGGGUAACGGCUCACCAAGGCUACGAUACAUAGGGGGACUGAGAGGUUAACCCCCCACACUGGUACUGAGACACGGACCAGACUCCUACGGGAGGCAGCAGUGAGGAAUAUUGGUCAAUGGACGGAAGUCUGAACCAGCCAUGCCGCGUGCAGGAUGACGGCUCUAUGAGUUGUAAACUGCUUUUGUACGAGGGUAACCGCAGAUACGUGUAUCUGUCUGAAAGUAUCGUACGAAUAAGGAUCGGCUAACUCCGUGCCAGCAGCCGCAGUAAUAC